CGGAGAACUAAUGUUCAGCCACCGGCAGCGCCGCAAAUGCUUCGCGAAUCAAAUCUCUACUGGCGCGGUGGUUUGAGUGACAGAACUGCUCACGCUCGAGCCUCAACGUCCUUGAGACCAACUGGAAAUAUACGGUGUCAGUCCCUCUCAGCUCCAGAUGGCUCCUGGUUCUGAGCCAGUGGGACAUGGCUUCCCUCUUCUGCUCCACUGGUGGAAGAAGACGAGCAGGAGUCAGUGUUUCAGUAAGUUCAGUGAGUAAAACAGUCUGAGUCUAAAAGAAGCAUUGGCUGUUGUAGAGAGUAA
rnacentral:lncRNA from 1 species